CGGGGAAGCUUCUGCUGCGGAUGCCCAGCGGGGCGGCUCCCAGGGAAUCGCCGCCUGUCCCCCUCCUGCCCCAUUGUUAUGGGGUAAGAGGACUGUGCGGCCUUGUCAGCGUGUUCGCGCCCCAGCCCUCGGGGAAUUCUUGCUUUGGGCAGAGUAACCAUAUGUUUUUGUAUCUGGUAGGACUCGCGGCUCCCGGGUGCUUGCGCCUUCAAGGGGUUUGGUGCUCCAUUGGAAACAGGUUUCAGGCGAUCUCUUGUACCACAGUUCACACGGAUUCCCUCUUCCUUUCCUGAUUUCUCAGAGCAGGGUGGCACAAGUUCUGCUCCCAGAAUAGGAGGUGGAAACCAACAGCAGGAGGGGUUCCCAGGCACCCCUAGAGCUGUGAAGCCAGAGCUCCCUCCACCUCUCCCACCCCCUCGGGUCACCGGAGAUUGUAUUUGAGACACCCAGCAAGUUAUCACCUUUGGGGAGACGGACAGGUUUACUGUCUCAGAUUCUGCACCCAUCCCAGUGCCUCUUAGAGAAAUGAAGAGCCAUUCUCUCUAGGUGUUCCUUGGGGCCCUGAUUUCAGAGACGCAGUGAGUGGGAAAACUGCUUUGUGUGUAUUGGGCCCCAGAUAGGGGGUCCUGAGGAUUCCACAGGGGGGCACCAGUAGAGAAAGGAGAACUACCCCCGCCUGGCCCCCAGGGAGGGCCAAGGUCAUGAAGUCCACCAGCAAGCAAAGUGAAGCUGCCCAGGGUCUCAGAAGGAAUGCCUGCAGUUUUGCUACCCUUCCUUCAGGGGGCAGCCUUGCAUCACCUCUAACACCUACAUGCUUUGCGGGAAUGUCAGGAGCCUUGCCUUUGAGACCUGGACUCUGGUCUUUGCUUGGACUUUGACUGGCUUUGUGAUCUGAAGAAAGUCUCUUCACUUUCUGGGUUUGUUUCUCCUCUGUGAAGCAACUAGGUGAAUCCCUUGCAGCUUAUUUUAGGAUACCAGCGUCCCAUAAGUUCCCUGGGCUGUGGCCAUGCAACCUAGGGGCCUGGGGACGAGUCCUCUGCCUUGCACUUCUCAUAAUGCCCUUAGAAGACCAGGUUUUGGAGACAACUGUGUGCGGCUGCUGGAGUGAGGUGCCUCUUCAUCUCCGGGUCUGCCGUGGUUGGUUGUUUUAACCCCUCUAUUCUCAUAAAAUGACGAUCAUACCUGAAUCUGCCUCCCUGGGCUGCUGAAGAUUGAAGGGAGAUACUAUUCUAGAGUGUGCAGCAUUCGCCUAGCAUGGAGAGGCAGCUGCGGUGACUGUUGCUUGUCACUGAUCCUUUGAAGCCGUGUGAGCUGGAGAGCCUUCUCUGGCUUUGCUGAGCUCCCCUACUCACUACCUGGUAUGGAGAGUCCAGCUGUUCUCAAGGGCACCCCGUAGGGAGUAGGAGCAGCCCCCAGAGCUGCCGCAGCCCAGCCCGGUCAGUUACAUUUCCUUGGCUUCCAAACCGACUACACAUCAAAGUAACUGGGGAAUGGUUGCUCUUCACCCACAAAAAAAGUACUGAUUUACAGCGUUAAAUUCAUCAUAUAUUUCUGAGUUACUUAUAGAGCUGGUAGGAGCUGAACUAAGAUCAUUCUAUAGAAGGCAGUGGUCUUUGUAGCAGUCAGACAGUGUUUGAAAACCCCAAACCUGCGCAGCCUGGGUGGCUUAGCGGUUUGGCGCCUGCUUUCAGCCCAGGGCGUGAUCCUGGAGACCCGGGAUCAAGUCCCACAUCAGGCUCCCUGUGUGGAGCCUGCUUCUCCCUCUGCCAGUGUCUCUGUGCCCCCCCCCCCCACCGUCUCUCAUGAAGAAAUAAAUCUUAAAAAAAAAAAAAAAGAAAAGAAAACCCCAAACCUCAGAUUGUUGUCUGCAUGCACCCUCUUGGGCAAAAGGAAGUUGGGGAAAGCACAGAUGGUGUCUUCACAGUAGGUCUCAGGGAACUGGAUGUGGAAUCAUGGGCUGGGGUGUGGGGUAGCACGGGAGGUGCUCCUGGGUGAGGCUGUGGUGGAGCGUCCUGAUGGAGCCGGCAUCUUUGUUUUGGUGUGACCAUGGACAUCAGAGAGAUGACAGGUGGUCUGUGACAUCCAGUUCUUUAGAGGAAAAGGAUUUCUUUAUCUGUGGAUGGGACCCCCAGCUGGGCCCGCUAGGAGGCAUACCAUGCACUUGAGACCCCAGAUGACUCCUAGGAACUGGUUUUUGGGCUUCCAGUCCAAAUGAAACAUCUUCAGCAGGAAGAGUAAGACCCCACAGGGUCUUAUUAUUAUUAGCUUAUUAUUGGUGCUGGGAGCCAGAUUUUGCCUGUGUUGAUAGUUGGGCCAGAGGAACUCUCUGGGCAUUGAAGGUGUCUUUUAGGAAGUUUCUGGUGACUUCUUACUUCUUGGAGUUGUUUAGAGAGAGGGACGUGGUUUAUUGAUAGAAAGGUUCAUAUGAAAAGUAAGCCUGGCAGUGUAUCUAGGGAAACAUUGAAAAGGGAGGAAGGUCUUUUAGUGUUUGUUCACCAGACAUUAAAACAAACCAUAAAGUCUCUGUAAUUACAACAGUGUGGCCGUGGCACAUGAAUAGACAGACCAGUGGGAUAGAAAGUGCAGAAAUGAACCUAAAUACAGAUGGAAAGUUAGUGUAUGAUAAAGAUGGCAUCUUGAAUCUCAGAGCAGUGAUAGACUUCUUAAUAAAUGAUGCUGGGAAGCUGGGCAGUCAUUUCAAAAGAUAAACUUAAAUUCGUAGCUCACAUAUAGAAGAAUAUACUCAAACAGAUCAUGAAUUUACAUGUAAAAAAUGAAACCCUGUAAGUACUAGUGGGGGGGAAAGAAGCAUGGGUAAGUUCCCCUUGAGCUCAGUGUAAGGAACGGAUUUCAAACUGACUCUGAAUCCAGAGGCGAGUGAAGGAAUCAUUGGUAAGCUGGACAUGGCAAAAAACACCAUAAAGUCAAAAUAACUAAAAAAUUGAGAGAAAAUAUUCGCAGCCCCCAGUACUUGGGCUUUGCUACAAAGAUGGAAUGCUUAAAAUCCUGACACAUAGAGCACUCUUGAGAAUUGAGGGACAGAGGAUAAAAUCUCCAAAAGAAAAAUGAGAAAAGAUGUAAGCAGACAAUUUGCACACACACCCAGUGACCCAAUGACGAUGGUCCUCAAACAUGGAAAUGUGUUCAGGCACACUCAUCACAUGGGGAUAUGGAAACUCAAACAGCUGAGUGCCGGAUGGUACCCUGGAUUGGCUCCUACAACAUGUAAGGGACAUUAAUGAGCAACUGGUAAAACCUGGGUGCAGUCUGUGGCUGAGUUAACAUCUCCAUGUUCAUUUCCUGGUUUUGAUCCUUGUGGUAACUGUUACGUAAGUGUUAACAUCUGGAGAAGCUGGGUGGAGGGUCUGUGGGAGCUUUAAUGAUUACUUGGAAAGUUUUGAACAUUAAAAACGAGGUUCUGCUUCAGCGAAUCUUAGAAAUGGGGCUCAGAUUGUAUUAACACACUCCCUGGGUGUUUCUGGUAUUGAGGUGCAAAUUCCCCUGGAUCAGGUGAACUUUGUCCUUGAAAUGUUGAAGGACUCAUCAACACUCAAACAGAAUAAACAAAUGGAUCAAUAAAACGUGGCAGGUGUGAUGGCUGCGUGAUGAGGAGCGUAGACCUGGGCUGUGGGUGUGGGCAAUUUCUCUGUCAGGAAAUACAUAUGAUAUUUUUUAAAUGUUAACUAAAUAAAAUGCUCCCUUAUGAAUGAGACACUUUCUGCUUUAACUAAAUACCCAAAUUCACUUACUCAAAAAUACAUUAAAGGUUUUGUGUGCCAGGCUGAUCAGUCUUAUAGGGAUGAAAAAUGGAAGAAAAGCCAGUUCCUUGUCCCCAAGGAGUUUCUGGUUCACUGGGUGAGAUGGACGCUGGAAGUUCAUGCUAACAGGGGCCAGGGUGUGGUCAAGACUCAAGGGGGCUUGGAUUUGACCUGAGUGAACCUUCUGGGGCCUGUGGUGUACCGUUGGUCAGUUAGAAUGUGGGGAAAGGGAACAAUCCGAGAAGCAGUUGAGGGGUAGGUGGUUCCAAGCAGAGAGGACAGUUGGAGGAACGGGAAGGCUGCUGGAGAGGGAUGGGUCGAGGGGACAGCUUCCAGUCUCGGAGGACCAGAUGAAAGGGGCCACGCUGGGUGGCUUUCAACAGGAAGCCGGUGGUGAGACUGAAGAGUCAAUGGCAGGAAAAGAGGACAGAGGAUGAGCCCUGGGGCACAGAUGUCUGACCUGGGCAUCGGUCUGAGCUGGAGGAGGAGUCAGCCCGGUCCCUGCACCGCAGCCCGCCAGCGCCCAGAGCCACCUCUUGCUAUGGAACAAAAGCAAAGAGACUUGGGGAACCAAGGAGAGGUUUCCUGGAGGAAGACUGAGGACUCCUCAGGGAUUCGCCAGUACUGAUUAUUUUCCAGAUGCUGGCUGCAGGCCUCUGGGGAGCACAGAGAGGGGCCUGGCAGGAUCUGGGCGGGCAGCUUGGGUGACCGCAGAUGCAGGGGGGAUGUGCCUUGGAGCUGACUUGCCAGCUUCGUGAAUCGGCUGCCCUGGGCAGUGGGUCGCGUUCACAGGUGAGCGUGGUGGGAGAUGGGAAGGAGCUGACCCAGACCGCGGCCUCCUGGCCUGCCCGGUGCCAGCGCGCCACCUGCCCGGUCCCGCAGCUCAGGAGAGGCGGGAGAGGCGUUGCAGGGUCCCUCUCCCUGCAAGCAUGGUGGCCCCAGGAGGGCGCGGCCUCCGCUCUACUCCAGUGGUCCGCGUCUACGCCAGAGCCUCGGGCGCCGCUGGCCCUGCCGAGGGUGGUGUGGCAGGGUUGGCCAGGUGUCUUUGAUGACUUGUCUCCAGGCGAGCUGAAAGCGGCCCAGGAGCGCAAACCCCAGGGGAAGCCAGACUGGAGUCGGAGUGCCCUGCCUUGCCAGGAUCCUGAACGUGGAGCGCUCUGGCCAUGCCUGCGGCUCUGUCACUUGCUGGCUGUGUCACCUUGGAAAAGUUAUCUAACCUUCUCUGUCCCCCAGUAUCUUUCUCUGUCACCUGGUGAUUGCAACAGUCCUGACCUGAUUACAGGCCUAUGAGGUCUAAAUGGGGUAAUAUGGGCCACAGGUUCUUUUGAUCAGGCUUUCUCUCUUUUACUUAGAAGGAUGGAAAAAAAAUGGAAGAGUUCUUGACCUCAGUAUCUUUGGGUGCUUGAUAUUGCAGGGGAGGGUGUCAGGGCUUGACUGGCAUCAGGGACUGGUGAACUACCCCCUCCAAGACCGCAGAGCCUUGUGUCUGUGUCUUUGUGCAUAAGUCACUUUUCUCCCCAAGCACAGAGUUUACGUCUAAGAUGGGGGGGUUGCGGGGUGGUGGUGGGGGUCCGGACUCCAGAUUGGAUAUCUUGGGGGAUUCAAGUGUCUUUAUUCCAGACUACCAUUUCCCAGCUUCGGCACUAUUGACAUUUGGGGCCGGAUAACUCUUUGUCUUGGGGUUGUCCUGUGCAUUGUAGGAUGAUUAGCAUCUGUAGCUCUUGCCCAUGAGAUGCUAGUUAUGAUAAUCAAAAAUGUCUCCAAGUGUUGCUAAAUGUCCUCAGGGAGGGGGGACAGAUUGCCUCUGGCAGAGAGCUCCUGCUUUGUACAGUUCUCUAUGCAGCGAGCCCUCCGCGAGUGGCCAUUAUGCGCUGUACUGAAAUUUAUAGCAAAAGUUAAUUUUCUGAGCCUCGGCGUGUCUGCCAACUUCUGUGCACAGUCGGAGGGUCCAGUGAAAUCCUGGCAAAGGAUUUUUCAAAGUUGACGGGCCACAGUCUUUCCGAACCCCAGCCCCGUUUGAUAUAAACGACUGGUUCCUUAACCUGGCUGGGCAGCUGGAUCAAUUGAAACUUGGUUUUUAUUGUAUUUCUUUUUUUCACUCAGACCUACAGGGAUUUUAGAGCAGUAAAUGCAACUUAAUCACUCAGUCCUUUACUAGUAAGACCUGAGCUACAAUUAAAAUUAAAUAGUUAAUUCUGUGGAGAACAAGAUCUUGAAGUAAUCUUUUGUGGUAAAUACAUUUUGUUUGUUUGUUUGUUCGUUUGUUUUUAAACCACAGACCGCAAGUUGGUAGUUCCUCAUUCAGGGGAAAAGCCAGAGAAGGGUUUUAAGGAGAAGGACCCAGUGUGGAAGAAGAAUCUGAAGCAUUUGAAGUCCCCACUAUUUAGGAAGUGGUCUAAGAGGACCCGACACUGGGUGCCCUUGUGCUGGGGCGUCCUGGAUAUGAUGAGGGUCUUUGACUCCUGCCUUUUAAAUGAUUAAUCCUCCUCCAUAGAUGUAUAACAUUCUGCUCUCCUCUGGCUUGACUCCUUGUAUAUCUGCUCAAACAUGUCCCCAGGAAUUCCUGUGUCACUGCCCAGGAGUGAAGAAUGUUCCUCCAGACUUUGGAAGAUUUUUCUCUGCAUGCUCAUGGAGCUUGCUUUUGGGCAGUCCUUCCGUUGUGGGUUUGCCAACAUUUUGGCUCCCCCAUCUUUGGGACUGUGAUGUCUAAUGGCAGGCAGCAGAAGCAAGCUUUGGAAAUGCUGUGGGUGCAGCAACAAGCACCCCUGGGUGAUGGAUUGCCUUUAAACCAGGGGGCUGGGGUUUGCCUGGAGCUUCACCUCCGCCUGGUGGGAUCUGGGGGUCUUGUCAGUAGCUCCAGGUAUAAGAAUCAAUGUGGUGUCCAGUGCUUGGAGGUGUGUGUCAGAAGCAUUUAGUGUGAUCUUUUGAGUCCCUUUGUAUUCGUUGACCUGGACUGUCGUCUGCACAGCUGGUCCUGUGGACACGAUGAUAAGGAUUCCAACGAGCUUCUUGUGACACGACGGCUGUGCUAUGACAGAUGUGACCCACACCAAGACAUCUAGGGUUGAGUAAGGUGUGUGCACCCCAGCAAUGAUGCUGGCUGCUUUAAAGGCACUGAGCCAGCUCUCUGCAGGGGGAGUGUGGUUAUUAUUCCUGGGUUUUUCAAGAACACUCUCAGAUGCUGUACCGUAUGGACCAAGUUGAUGUUGCAAGUUAUCAUAGACUUGUGCCAUUGGAGGUUCUGUUUCCCAGAUGGGCAUGGCAGCCAUGGGGCGGGGUAUCAGGUUUGCAGUUCCUUGGAAAUGGGCAAGUCUCUUCAAGUGAGGCAGACUGCAUCAGGGGUAGUGGUACAAAUUGCCCUAACAGCACGGAAUCCUCUCAUUUGCUAUGUAGACGGUGAGCUGAUGCUAGAGUGUGUCCAGGCUCCACUGGUGGGCCCUGCAAUCUCAUCAGUCUCAUUUAGAAGAGCCAGGGAGGAUUGUGGUGGUGGUGGUGACUGGGUUGGCCCUGGAUUGGCCAUCUUUGUGGGCACCGCGUGAGGUCCCCUUUGAUACUGUGACACAGUGGUUCUCCUGCCCUUAACCUGCAGAAGUGAGGGGUUUCAGCAGAGCAUAGAUACGAACGAGAUCAGGAGCUGAGACCUCAGACAAGCCUGGGACAAGGUGUGGCGGCUUCUUCAGCAGACAUGGACCCUAGUGGAGGCUAAGCUCCUCCAGUGAAUGAUGAGGAUCUUGUAGUUGGGCUUGUUGAUGCUGAGAAGAAACAGUUUGAGCAAAACAAACAGUUUGACCACUUUAUAAUAGUGGUUAGACAGUUUUUUUAAAUCCCCCAAACCUCAGAUUGUUGUCUGCAUGUACCGUCUUGGGCAAAGGGAAGUUCUUAUUUGGGGAAGGUAGAGAUUGUGUUUUCUCGGUAGGUCUAAGGAGAACCAACCAUGGGUGGAAGGACAGGAAGUCCUGGGUGAGGCGGUGAUCUCCCCAGGGGGCUGGGCACCUUCCUCUUAGAAAUCAGGAAAAUUCUGGAAAGGACAUCUAACUUUUCAGGAGAGAAGGAGUUCUUGCAUCUGGGACCCUAGCUGGACCCACUGGGAGGCAUGCCAGGCACUUGAGGCCUCAGAGGACCGCUAGGAAUUGGUGUUGGGACUUGCAGGCCAGACUGGACGUGCUCCUUUGGCAAGAAGAGAAAGGCCCCGUGGGUGGGCUUAUUAUUGGUGCCGGGAGCCGGAUCCCACCUGUGUUGGUGGCCGAGCCAGAGGAGCCCUCUGAUCGCCAAGGGCGCUCUCCUGGAAGUUUCUGGUGGCUGCUUGCUUCUUGGAGCUGUUUUGAAAGGACACGCUAUUGAAGCUCUCUCUCUUUCUAUGUGUGCUUGUCCUAAAACCAAUCUCAAAUUGGCAUGUACCCCCGGGGGAGGGGGCAAGAGCUCUUCUAACAUCCUGUACCUGAGUGAGAGUUCAUGGCUUUCCUAUUUAAAGUACAACUGUAAAUUUUAUAGUAUCUUUCUUGUAUUUUGUGGGUUUUUUUUUUUUUAACUUUUUCUCCAGGGCUUGGAUUUUCUGCUAAUUCAUUUUCACGUCCUCAGGCAGCUUCUGCUCUUUUUCCUUCCUGAUCGGCUGUCUGUGCAUGGACGUGACUUGUUGCCUGUGGUCCUCAUUCAGUCCUGUGUGGCGUUGCCUUCGUGUUCCAGGGGAGCGCUGACCCAGCGCCCAGGGGGCACCUGCCGCCUCCAUUGCUUGGCGUCCUCUUCCAGUUCCCCCCCAUGCUGGACACCUCAUCGCACAGUGGGCCUCGGAAGGCCACAUCUUUUUUCAAACCACUCUUUCUUCCCGGCUCUAUUGCCGAGCCAUGGCCCGCUGCCAGUGGCCUUCCAAAGCCUUGUGUGAUGUUCUUCUCGAGUUUUGGGUAGCGGGUGGCCGACACCUUCCUUGUCCUUCCUGCUACGGUGCAGCGAUAGCUCCCCCUCUCCUCGUGGAGGAGACAGAGGCCGACACUUUGAAGCCGUCGUGGCGACAGUAUUUUGUCCUGGGAUCACUGUGAUCAAACUCGAUCACACGAUCGUGGAUCAUCGCGCUUCACGUUUUCUUGUGCUGGGAUUGAACUGCUUUCUGACUCGCGGUGCAUCAGUGCUGGGGGUUGGGGUGUGAGCUGUGGGCCCCGGCCCGCCGCCGCCUCCUCGGUGGAGGGCUCCUGUGCCCCUGUUAACUCUCCAGAACUUUUGAACCCUUUUGGGGUUCGAUUUUCUUCUGCCUCUGGCUCUUCAGCUCCUUACCGUUUAAUCCAGCUGUGGCUUCAGCCGCUUACUCUUUGAUGAAAUACCCUGUCUUCUGAGGAGUGUCUCCUGACUUCAGUGGUUCUCAUGACACGGGGGAGGGGGGGGCGCUGAGAACAGUGACCCUGGAAAGUGAGUCGUGAGCAGCAGCCCUCUCCGCAGGACCUACAGAGGCCGCCUGUGGAGGGGGACAGAGGCUCUGCUCUAAGCUGGGACUCUAGGGACAGCUGGCACCCCUUCAGCCUCUCCUUCCUGUGUGCCGACAGUCACCCCCUGGGGAUGCGACGCCCUGUCCCCACACCGCCCCAUAGCCGGGGUGUGCUGCUUUGGCUUUUGUGAUUUAGAGCAUGGUUUUGUCGUGGGGAAGAAGAACUCUUUUUAAGACUUUACUGCGGUUUUUAAAAUGACCAUUCAGGACACUAGCUUUUGCUUUAAGCCUCUAAGUUCUGUUAGCAAUUUCUGCUCUCGAAGAUUUUAGCCAUCCCUUUGAAGGGGGAGUUGGUGAGACUCUGGGUCCUGUUUGGAGCUGUUAGUAGUGAGAACCCAUCCCCUGCUUGUGGAAAGACAAGCUGGCCGGGCCUGGGUGUUGCACGCCGGCCUGUCCCGUUCUGCCCUGGGCUGGUGGUUUAGCAGCUCAUUUGUCUCUCCAGGUCCCAGAGGGGGCAGGUAGUGGUCAAACAAUGACAGACUUCAUAGCUGAGUGACAGUGGAAUGUGCUGCUUUGGCAAGUGGCAAGUUCUCUUCUAGUCGGGGUCCUGGUAAGCAGAAACCAGCCCCUCAUCUGAUACUGAUCAUUGAUGUUUUUCUUGUUGGUUUAACACGAUGGAGCAUGUACCCUAACCCCCUCCCCCCGCACCAAAUGGGCACUAUGGUGCUCUAAUUCAUGCAUCUUAAAAAUAUCCACUUAACAGGAUGACAGAUGCUUCCUGCAUGUGCUUCCCACCCGGUCAGCACUCCCACCCUCAUCCCUGCAACUGAACAAAACCCUUUGGUCACCAAUGUAGGCAGUCUGAACAUAAUAAAGAUGCUUGCGUUGCCUCUGAGCUUCCCUAUCCUGGUUGCUGCUGCUCCUCACACUAUGGAUGCUCCCCUGCUCCUUACCGUGCCUGGCUUUGCUGGAGAAGAUCCUCCAGGUCUGGCAUUCCCGGAAGGAGAUGGUGCUGGGAGCCUAUGAGAGGGUCUGUGUGUGGCGUCCGCUCUGUCCCAGGCAGCUGCAGCUGGGUGGGGAAGCCCCUGGGUACUUUAUUCUCUUGAGUGGGGGGCGUGGGGACCCCCGUGCACAGGAUGAGUGUUAAGUUCACUCUUCAGUUCCUGGCAUCAUUAUCAACGGUGUAUGUGAGGUCCCUCUCUUGGUGGUGUAAUCCCUUUCGAUAAGAUUUCCCAUGGCCAUUCCUCCUCCUCCCACAGACACAAUCAUUCUGGAAUGCUCGAUGGGUGUCUUUUUUUUUUUUUUUAAUGCUCUAACAAAACAUCAUUGCUUUCUUGUUAUAGGCACUUUUAAUUCACUUACAUGGUAUUAUACUAUUUCUUAAUUCUGUUUUCUUUCUCAGCACUGUGUUUUAAGAUGCAGUUUCCCCCUCUACAUUCCUAAGGCCUAUUGAGAUUACCCAAAGAGCUUUUGUUUAUGUGGGUUAAAACUAUCGAUACUUGGCACAUUACAAAUCGAAACAUUUACCAAUACUUAUUGAUUCAUUUGCAAAUAGCAGUGGUGAACAUAUUGCAAGUCAAGGUGAAUAAUAUUUUAGCAUUAUUAUGAAAAUAGUUUUGACCCUGCGGACCCUCUUUGCCCUGUAGUAAAGUGUCCAUUUGUUCCAGAAUGCAAAAGGUCAGUAGGAACGGUAUAAAGUUUGGAAAGUGAAUUUUAUGUAUAUUGCUUUAUAAAACCUGCAUCUGAAGAGAAGCUAUGAUAUAUAUUGUAUUUUAGCAGAGUUUCCUCAGGUUUAAUGGGCUUGCCUCCUUGUGGAAGGCUCUUCUAGAUAGCAGAAGUCUUCUUACCAGAAGACUUUCUGGUGUUUUUUGUUGAAUUUGUCAUGUCCUAGAAUAGGUGAUUUUAAAACCUAGUAAAAACUCAUCACUUAUGAAUGUGCCACAUGUAUAUAUGUAUAUAAAUGGGCAUUUCCUGUUUGCUUUACUUAUUUUUGUAAAAGAUUUUAUUUAUUCAUGAGAGACAUAGAGAGAGAGGCAGUGACACAGGCAGAGGGAGAAGCAGGCUCC